GGUGGAUUAUGUGGUUUAAUUCGAUGAUACGCGAGGAACCUUACCAAGGCUUAAAUGGGAAAUGACAGGUUUAGAAAUAGACUUUUCUUCGGACAUUUUUCAAGGUGCUGCAUGGUUGUCGUCAGCUCGUGCCGUGAGGUGUUAGGUUAAGUCCUGCAACGAGCGCAACCCCUGUCACUAGUUGCCAUCAUUAAGUUGGGGACUCUAGUGAGACUGCCUACGCAAGUAGAGAGGAAGGUGGGGAUGACGUCAAAUCAUCACGGCCCUUACGCCUUGGGCCACACACGUAAUACAAUGGCCGGUACAGAGGGCAGCUACACUGCGAAGUGAUGCAAAUCUCGAAAGCCGGUCUCAGUUCGGAUUGGAGUCUGCAACUCGACUCUAUGAAGCUGGAAUCGCUAGUAAUCGCGCAUCAGCCAUGGCGCGGUGAAUACGUUCCCGGGCCUUGUACACACCGCCCGUCAAGCCAUGGAAGUCUGGGGUACCUGAAGUCGGUGACCGUAACAGGAGCUGCCUAGGGUAAAACAGGUAACUAGGGCUAAGUCGUAACAG
rnacentral:rRNA from 1 species